CAGCGUGAUAGACCUUUCCUACAAUAAGUUCGACGAGAGCUCUGAACCAUCUACCUGUCGGGACAACCUAAACUUAUUCAGAAGCUUUAAGGCCGGGAAUUUUGUGUAAGUGUGUUAACUUCAAAUAAAAUAACAAGGCUAUGAUGCUCUUGAAAAGGACUUAUCCUUUCUAAUACCUCUUUCAACUUCUAUAGAGAUGAUGGGAAGUGCUUGUCAACCAAACCAUGUUCAGAGGAGAAGUACUCACUGCACAUAAAUUGUGGUGGAGAAAGAGUAAUUAUUGGAAACGCUCCUUAUGAAGCAGAUGGAGACUCAGCAGGUGCUGCAAAAUU